rnacentral:rRNA from 1 species
UGGGGGAUAUUGCACAAUGGGCGAAAGCCUGAUGCAGCGACGCCGCUUGGGGGAUGAAGGCCUUCGGGUGGUAAACUUCUUUUGCUGUGAACAAGGCAUGCUAAGGGGUGUGUUGAGUGUAGGGGUUGAUUAGCGCCGGCUAACUACGUGCCAGCAGCCGCGGUAAUACGUAGGGCGCGAGCGUUGUCCGGAAUUAUUGUGCGUAAAGGGCUUGUAGGUGGCUGGUUGAGCUUGUCGUGAAAGCUCAUGGCUUAACUGUGGGUUUGCGGUGGGUACGGGCUGGCUUGAGUGCAGUGGGGGAUGCUGGAAUUCCUGGUGUAGCGGUGGAAUGCGGAGAUAUCAGGAGGAAUACCGGUGGCGAAGGCGGGUCUCUGGGCUGUUACUGACACUGAGGAGCGAAAGCAUGGGGAGCGAACAGG